rnacentral:rRNA from 1 species
CCCAACCCUCUCCACCCCAUCUGGGUCCGGGAGGACCAGCAGGUGCUCGGCUACCUGCUGAGCAAUCUCUCCAAGGUGGUGCUCGUCACGGUGACCACGAUCACCACAGCGCAGGCGCUCCGGACGACGCUGGAGGGCAUGUACUCG